CCGGGACCCUCUGGCAACUUCAGCCUGCGAACCGCGUCAGGGCCGGAAGGCAGCAGCGCUAAACAGACCCUGAGAUGUGCUGCAGGUGCGCCGGGUCG
rnacentral:SRP_RNA from 1 species